AGUGAACGCUGGCGGUAGGCCUAACACAUGCAAGUCGAACGGCAGCACAGUAAGAGCUUGCUCCUACGGGUGGCGAGUGGCGGACGGGUGAGGAAUACAUCGGAAUCUACUUUUUCGUGGGGGAUAACGUAGGGAAACUUACGCUAAUACCGCAUACGACCUACGGGUGAAAGCAGGGGAUCUUCGGACCUUGCGCGAUUGAAUGAGCCGAUGUCGGAUUAGCUAGUUGGCGGGGUAAAGGCCCACCAAGGCGACGAUCCGUAGCUGGUCUGGGAGGAUGAUCAGCCACACUGGAACUGAGACACGGUCCAGACUCCUACGGGAGGCAGCAGUGGGGAAUAUUGGACAAUGGGCGCAAGCCUGAUCCAGCCAUACCGCGUGGGUGAAGAAGGCCUUCGGGUUGUAAAGCCCUUUUGUUGGGAAAGAAAAGCAGCAGGUUAAUACCCCGCUGUUCUGACGGUACCCAAAGAAUAAGCACCGGCUAACUUCGUG
rnacentral:rRNA from 1 species